CGUGAAUCAUCGAAUCUUUGAACGCACAUUGCGCCCGCCAGUAUUCUGGCGGGCAUGCCUGUCCGAGCGUCAUUUCAACCAUCAAGCCCCGGGCUUGUGUUGGGGCCCUGCGGCUGCCGCAGGCCCUGAAAACCAGUGGCGGGCUCGCUAGUCACUCCGAGCGUAGUAGUUUACACCUCGCUCAGGGCGUGCUGCGGGUUCCGGCCGUUAAAAGCCUUAUUUUACCCAAGGUUGACCUCGGAUCAGGUAGGAAGACCCGCUGAACUUAA
rnacentral:misc_RNA from 1 species